rnacentral:siRNA from 1 species
AGCCAGUUGCAGAAGAAGAAGUGC